GUGAGUCAUCGAAUCUUUGAACGCAUAUUGCGCCCGCUAGUACUCUAGCGGGCAUACCUGUUCGAGCGUCAUUUCAACCCUCAAGCCCUGCUUGCUGUUGGGGCAUUUUCUUGAGGAAAAGUCCUGAAAAUCAGUGGCGGGCUCGCCGUGACCCUGAGCGCAGUAGUCUUAUCUCGCUUAGGGGUGUCGCGGUGAGAUCUGGCCCCGUAAAACUCCACAAGGAAGACCUCGGAUCAGGUAGGAAUACCCGCUGAACUUAAGCAUAUCAAUAAGCGGAGGA
rnacentral:misc_RNA from 1 species